rnacentral:lncRNA from 1 species
GUCCAGAUUUCAACUCUUGGCACCAUGAUCUAACAAUGACCCAGAGACUGUAAUCAGAGUAAUGAAGAUGGGGAUAGUGCUAUGAUUUGUUUCCUACUUGUAUUCUGUAUAUUUGAUAAUGCCAAUCAAAUUCCUGAUGUUAAAGAAGAAACAGAAAUUACGGACUUGCUCUUCUAUGAAACUACCAACUGAGAAAAGGACAAAAGCAGCAACAACCCUUAAAACAAAAACAAAAACAACAAAAAAUCCUAAGACUACCUUUCAAUAAUAGAAUGGAAUGACUUCAUGGUAAAG